AGGGAAUCUUCCGCAAUGGGCGAAAGCCUGACGGAGCAACGCCGCGUGAGUGAUGAAGGUUUUCGGAUCGUAAAGCUCUGUUGCCAGGGAAGAACGUCCGGUAGAGUAACUGCUAUCGGAGUGACGGUACCUGAGAAGAAAGCCCCGGCUAACUACGUGCCAGCAGCCGCGGUAAUACGUAGGGGGCAAGCGUUGUCCGGAAUUAUUGGGCGUAAAGCGCGCGCAGGCGGUCAUUUAAGUCUGGUGUUUAAGGCCAAGGCUCAACCUUGGUUCGCACUGGAAACUGGGUGACUUGAGUGCAGAAGAGGAGAGUGGAAUUCCACGUGUAGCGGUGAAAUGCGUAGAUAUGUGGAGGAACACCAGUGGCGAAGGCGACUCUCUGGGCUGUAACUGACGCUGAGGCGCGAAAGCGUGGGGAGCAAAC
rnacentral:rRNA from 1 species